rnacentral:misc_RNA from 1 species
GGGUUAGAAAAUUAUCUUUUUACACAACGGGUUAGAAAAUUAUCUUUUUAGCUCCUUCAACUUUUAUCACACAAUUGAUUUUUUUUUCAAACCCCUUAUUGUUAUUUUGGAGGACUUAUAUUAAGUCUGGAGAGUCAUUUUUACAUAACAAUUCUCGACAAAAUUUUCUGUGAUUUAUAUGCUCAUCACGCAUGUAUGAGUUUAUUUUAAAUUUAUUUCUUUGACUGUUCCAAUAAAUUUACAAAAUAGAUAUUAUCAUGUAUUUGUAAAAAACAUGCAUCCUAUGGACAAUCAUCAAUUGUUAUUACUUAUUAUUAUUAAGCCCCGUGUUAUUAAAAAUGUUAUAUUUCAGAAAAAUGAUUUACCUGGGUCAGUUCGACAUUGAGAUUCAUAUUUUAUCUUCUGGUACCAGAUAAAAGAAAUGCUUUAUACUUCUGAAAUAAAUUUUGAAACAAUGAUUUGAAGUAUCAAAAGACGAUCUGAGGCAAGGACUGCUUAUCUUAAUAAAAAAGGUAGAGUUGUACAGUACAGUGUAAAGUAUAGUUGUACAGUAUGACGGGUGAGAAAAAGGACCUGUACAACUUAGCUGACGGUUGGUUAGAGCUAGAGAGUGAUCCUGGUCUCUUCACUCUUCUCAUGGAGGAUAUGGGAGUACAGGGAGUACAGGUUGAAGAAAUAUAUGAUCUACAACGUGAACCCCUUGUUGACAAGAAACCCUGCUACGGAGCGAUCUUUCUCUUCCGAUGGAUUGAAGACCGGAGAUCCCGGCGUAAGAUCGUCGAAGAAGAGCAUUUGUACAUGAAGAAUGAGGAAGAAGUGAAUAAGAUAUUUUUUGCAGAGCAAAUGAUUCCUAACAGCUGUGCAACCCAUGCUUUGGUUUCUAUUUUACUAAACUGUACUCAACUCAAGCUUGGCAGUACACUAAAUACACUCAGAAAUCAUGUACAAGGAAUGAAUCCUGAAAACAAAGGUUUAUCAAUCGGGAACUGUCCGGAGCUAGCACAGGCGCACAACUCCCACGCUGUACCACGGGCACGUCGUAGGUUUGAGAAGAAUAAUGUUCCCACAACAGGAACCAGAUAUACUGGAGAAGCAUUUCAUUUUGUGAGCUAUGUACCGAUCAAUGAUCGUCUGAUCGAACUGGAUGGGUUGAAAAAAUAUCCAAUUGAUCACGGACCUAUUCCUGAUCCUGACAAUUGGACUGAGAAACUUCGUCAAGUGAUUACAGAGCGUCUUGGAAUUGCUACAGGAGGUGGUGUACCUUACCAUGAUAUCAGGUUUGCUCUGAUGGUUCUAGUUCCUGACACUAGGUGUCUCUAUCAGUCAAACCUAACUAUGCUAAAAACCAACAGAGAAAUUGUUAUUACAGCGCUGCGCCAACUACUGCAGAUAUGCUAUAGUAAGAAGGUAGCUGGAGCUAGGGUGAGUACAGGAGAUGCGGAGGAUAAGGAGGAGGCUGAAGACUGUAUUGCUGUCGAAGAUAUUGGAGCUACACUUGAGGUUGACAGACUAGAGAAGGAAGUGCUUCAGGUUCUUGAUGAUGAGGUUCAUUUAAACCUUGGAACUUCAGCAUUAGAGAUUAAACCUACAGAUCAUACAGCAUCUAGAGAGCGUGUGCCAAAUAAACCCCUGAUCCGUCUAUCACGAGGCAGCUCUAUGGAUUGUCAACCCAAAUCUCCAUUCCAGUCUAAUCCACUUCUCACAGCUCACGACUACUCUAAAUCCCCGAUGAUGGAAGGAUGUGAAGAGGAUGAAGAGGAAGAGGAGGAAAGAAUGGAGUUGGAGAAGGAAAAUGAAGGACGGAUGGGGGAUGGUAGAAUUAAUCAGGACGAGACGAAUAAAUCGGAGGAUUCAACACAAGAGAAUGGGGAAACUAUUAUUCAGGAUAAACUUGACAAGAACGGAGAGAAAUCUCAAGCUUUGUUUAGUCUGAGUUUAUCCGAGAAUAAACCUGAAUUUAAUCCUCAGCAGACAAAACUUCAAGAACCUCACUUCUUCACACCUAGAGACCUUCUAACACUUCUCAGACGAAUAGAGACGGAGAUCUAUGUAACCGAAGGAAAGCUUAAUGACGAGGUGGAUACACAUAAGAAGUAUAUAGUGGACGACUGUCGUCGUGUUCAUAAUUAUGACGAGUUUAUCACAACAUUCAUCUCUAUGCUCGGUGAGCAAAGUCUACUGGGAGAAUUGGUGGAGCAUGGUCUAGGAUACAGGAAGGAGGACCCGGCUCUAGCUGGCAGGAAGGACCCAGGACAGCCAGGAAAAAAGGACCCAGGGCAGGCAGGCAGGAAGGAACAGGAGAAGAAGACGACUGCAGGGGAUCCAUCCAGGAAGACUGUUGUACCCCGGGCCCCGGUCAAGGGUCGGAAGAAGAAGAAACGGUUGGAUGAAAGUGAAUCCGAUUGGUCGGACGAGUCCAGAGAAUCUCCGGUUCCAUCUAAACCAGUGAUGAAAGUAUUAUAUAACGACUCCUCUCUUCCUAAAGGAUGGAAACGAAAGGUAAAGAAGAAGGCAGGGACGGGUAUGACUAGCGCCAAGUAUGAUGUUUACAUCAUCAACCCCCAGGGUAAACAGUUCAAAUCAAAACAAGAACUCAAGCUGUUUCUAGAAAAACAGGAGACAGACCUUGAAGUAGAUGAUUUUGAUUUCUCUGUGUCUGGGAUCAAACGUUCAGGAGUCAAGAGUUCGACUAAACGGAGAAAAUGAAAACAUUUUGAUGACGAAAGUCAAUGGAUGGUGUACCUUCCGACCUACGCACAUCCGCUAUACUGCCCCUCUGGACUUUUUACACGUGGUUUUAUAGCUGCUAGUUGGACAUGAAACCGCAGCGCCCGUCCCUCUAGCCUGUAAAACCGCAGCGCUCGGCCCAGAAAUUGUCUUAACCUAAUUCCUUACUCUAAAAUAUUAGAACAUAAACAGGUCUCGUGACAAUAUUACGACCAUAAACCUAGACCACACAAAUUUAAUAUAAAAGUUCUGUUCAGUAUUAUCCUUCACUUUUUUAUUCAGAUGUACUGUCAGUGCGGACUGUUUGCAUGAAAUUUUAACACUUUAUUUUAUAUUAACUAUGUUUUAUAUAUUGUGAUAAUUUUCAAGAUAAUUGUACAUUUUAUCUUUUUACCCAUAAUGUUAUAUGUUUUGUUUGAUUAAAGAGUACCUCAAGUGUU